rnacentral:rRNA from 1 species
GACGAACGCUGGCGGCGUGCUUAACACAUGCAAGUCGAGCGGAAAGGCCACUUCGGUGGUACUCGAGCGGCGAACGGGUGAGUAACACGUGAGUAAUCUGCCCCUGGCUUUGGGAUAGCCACCGGAAACGGUGAUUAAUACCGGAUACGACCACUUCUCGCAUGGGAUGGUGGUGGAAAGUUUUUUCGGCCAGGGAUGUGCUCGCGGCCUAUCAGCUUGAUGGGGAGGUAAUGGCUCACCAUGGCUUCGACGGGUAGCCGGCCUGAGAGGGUGACCGGUCACACUGGGACUGAGACACGGCCCAGACUCCUACGGGAGGCAGCAGUGGGGAAUAUUGGACAAUGGGCGGAAGCCUGAUCCAGCAACGCCGCGUGAGGGAUGACGGCCUUCGGGUUGUAAACCUCUUUCAGCAGGGACGAAGCGAAAGUGACGGUACCUGCAGAAGAAGCACCGGCUAACUAUGUGCCAGCCGCCGCCGUAA